rnacentral:sRNA from 12 species
GCCCCGAACCCGAACUGUACCCCUUGUGGGUCGCGUGCCGAAAGGCUAGGGUUCGGGGCUCUU